rnacentral:rRNA from 1 species
GAUGAACGCUGACAGAAUGCUUAACACAUGCAAGUCUACCAAGAAUCACUUCGGUGAGGAAUGGUGGCGGACGGGUGAGUAACGCGUAAAUAAUCUGCCCUUUAGACUGGGAUAUCCUUUGGAAACGAAGGUUAAUACCGGAUAUUAUGAGAUGGACGCAUGUUCAACUUAUGAAAGCUAAAUGCACUAGAGGAGGAGUUUGCGUCCCAUUAGCCAGUUGGUGAGGUAAAGGCUCACCAAGGCCACGAUGGGUAGCCGGCCGGAGCGGGUGAACUGCCACAAGGGAACUGAGACACGGUCCUGACUCCUACGGGAGGCUGCAGUGGGGAAUAUUGGACAAUGGACCAAAAGUCUGAUCCAGCAAUUCUGUGUGCACGAUGAAGGUCUUCGGAUUGUAAAGUGCUUUCAGUAGGGAAGAAAAAAAUGACGGUACCUACAGAAGAAGCGACGGCUAAAUAUGUGCCAGCCGCCGCAGUAAAAC